AGAGUUUGAUCAUGGCUCAGAUUGAACGCCGGCGGUAGGCUUAACACAUGCAAGUCGUGCGAGAAAGUAUCUUCGGAUAUGAGUAGAGCGGCGGACGGGUGAGUAACGCGUAGGAAUCUACCUAGUAGAAGGGGAUAGCCCGGGGAAACCCGGAUUAAUACCGUAUACCUCCUUUGGGAGAAAGAAGGCCUCUCUUUGAAGCUUUCGCUACUAGAUGAGCCUGCGUAAGAUUAGCUUGUUGGUGAGGUAAAGGCUCACCAAGGCGACGAUCUUUAACUGGUCUGAGAGGACGAUCAGCCACAUUGGGACUGAGACACGGCCCAGACUCCUACGGGAGGCAGCAGUGGGGAAUAUUGGACAAUGGGCGCAAGCCUGAUCCAGCCAUACCGCGUGUGUGAAGAAGGCCUUCGGGUUGUAAAGCACUUUAAGCAGGGAGAAAAAGUUAUAAGUUAAUACCUUAUAACCCUGAUGUUACCUGCAGAAUAAGCACCGGCUAAUUCCGUGCCAGCCGCCGCGGUAAUAC
rnacentral:rRNA from 1 species